GAGGGUAUACAGUGUUCAAAAAAGCGAGGGGAUGAAAGACCCAGAUGCAAAGCCUUGAAGAAGAAAAUGAAGGCAAGUUCUUGUACUUCACACACAAAAAUCCUGUAAUGACCUGAAUGAUGGCCAGAGUCCUUCCUAUAAUUCCGGGUUCCUUCAAGUAAGAGGUCGGGCAGCAGAUUCUUGAUGCCUCCGGGAUGUUGUCUCUUGGCCUGAACAAGAUUUGCAGAAAUGUACAAUUAUUCUAGGGACAGACAAUAUUGAGAAGGGAGAAUUCCUCUUGCUCAUUGAGAGGGAAAGGGACUCUC
rnacentral:lncRNA from 1 species